rnacentral:rRNA from 1 species
UACGUAGGGUGCAAGCGUUGUCCGGAAUUAUUGGGCGUAAAGGGCUCGUAGGCGGUCCGUCACGUCGGGAGUGAAAUCCUGGGGCUUAACCCCAGAACUGCUUCCGAUACGGGCAGACUAGAGUUCGGUAGGGGAGUCUGGAAUUCCUGGUGUAGCGGUGAAAUGCGCAGAUAUCAGGAGGAACACCGGUGGCGAAGGCGGGACUCUGGGCCGAUACUGACGCUGAGGAGCGAAAGCGUGGGGAGCGAACAGG